ensembl:lncRNA
UUCAAAGUAUAACCAAAUGAUUUUAUUGCAUUUACUGCUCCUGGGCACGCAGAGGCAUCUACACAGAAACAGUAGUUGUGGUUAUAAAAUCUUUUAACGAGUUUGGGGCAGAGGCUUUUAAAUUAUUUUUGAGACAGGGUCUCAUUCUGUCAUCCAGCUUGUGCAGUGGCGCAAUCUUGGCUUACUGCAACCUCUGCCUCCCAGACUCAAGCAAUCCUCCCACCUCAGCCUCCAGAGUAGCUGGGGCUGCAAACAUGCACCAUCACACCCAGCUAAUUUUUUGUAUUUUUGGUAGAGAUGGGGUUUUGCCAUGUGGCCCAGGCUGCUGUCACUGAGCUAGGCGAUCCACCCACCUUGGCUUCCCAAAGUGUUGGGAUUACAGGUGUGAGCCACUGCGCCCGGCCCAGAGUUUUCUUGAUGUGAAAAUUAUGUGAGUGACAAGGAGCACCAGGAGCUCUGCCUGGCUCACUGCCUGUUGGUAGGAUCUGACAUAUGAAUAAUACAAAAUACCCGUCUGGUGUGACUUGCAGAUUAAGUCACUGCUAGACUACAGCCUUGAUGCCCUCUCUUGCUGACCCUAGCCAACAUAACCAGUCUUCCAGGAACAAUACCACGUUUUAAAUUGCUUGAGGUUUCACUACCCACUGUCACUCAGUCCAGAAUCCCAGCAGGAGACACAGCUCCAGCUGGCCUGCCCAGCCCCCAUCAGAAGGCAGGGAGGAGGGGAAUUUGUCAGCCUUAAGGCUACUGAGUAAGAUUCUUCCAUGCAGAGGACACCUGCCCUGAAUGCCAAACUUGGGUCUGAACACUGCCUUCGAACAGUGAGCAAGCUCACUCAAGUUUGUAUUGACUCAUCUGUGAAUCAGGAAUGAUAGCAUACCUCACGUUUAUCCGGAGUCACGGGCUGAAUGCUGUCCCUUUCAAAUUCCAAUGUUGAAGUCCCAACCUCUAGUACCUCAGAAUGUGACCUUAUUGGUAAACAGCUGCUGCGGACACAGAAGACGUUAUAAUGGAGUUGGUGGGAUGGGCUCUAUUCCGAUAUGACUGGUGUCCCUAAACAAAGGGAGGCUUGGGGACAGACACGCCACAGCAAGACUGCCACGUGGGGAUGAAGGCAGAGAGUGCGUGACGCUUCCACACACCAAGGAACGGCAACUGCCAGCAAAGGCACGAAGCCACUUCUCCCUCACAGCCCUCGGAAGGCACCAACCCUGAGGACAUCCUGAUCUCGAAUGUGCAGCUCCCACAACUGUCAGGGAAUACACUCCUGUUGUUCUAAGCCAGCCAGUGUGCGGCACUUCGUUACAACAGACCUAGCAGGGAAUACACUCCUGUUGUUCUAGGCCAGCCAGUGUGCGGUACUUCGUUACAACAGACCUAGCAGGGAACACACUCCUGUUGUUCUAGGCCAACACUCCUGUUGUUCUAGGCCAGCCAGUGUGCGGUACUUCGUUACAACAGACCUAGCAGGGAACACGCUCCUGUUGUUCUAGGCCAGCCAGUGUGCGGCACUUCGUUACAACAGACCUAAAAAAUUGACACACCAGCACUCCAAGCUAAUGUAUAUGUAAAGUGUGAUGUCGGGGAAGGUUCUGUUCUGGAGCUUGGCUCACGGGACAGGAGAACCCCUCACUGGGGGCUGAGCUCCACAUUCCCAGACAGGACAGACUGGAAGAAGGGACUUAAGUGCCUUUUAAACGAUGACCACGCAGCUUCCAACACGCAAGCAUUUACCAAGGAUCUCUGGGGUAUAAAGACACUAUGGGGUGGGUGUGCAACACAAAUUAAAAUGUAAGCUUUGUUUUCGGUGAGCUCCAGAU